rnacentral:rRNA from 1 species
GAUGAACGCUAGCGGGAGGCUUAACACAUGCAAGUCGAGGGGCAGCACGGGGUAGCAAUACUCUGGUGGCGACCGGCGCACGGGUGAGUAACGCGUAUGCAACCUGCCUUGUACUGGGGGAUAGCCCGGAGAAAUUCGGAUUAAUACCCCAUAACGAUAUAGAAUGGCAUCAUUUUAUAUUUAAAGAUUCAUCGGUACAGGAUUGGCAUGCGUAACAUUAGCUAGUUGGUAGGGUAACGGCCUACCAAGGCAACGAUGUUUAGGGGUCCUGAGAGGGUGGUCCCCCACACUGGUCCUGAGACGCGGACCAGACGACUACGGGAGGAAGCAGUGAGGAAUAUUGGUCAAUGGGCCCAGUCCUGAACCAGCCAUCCCGCGUGCAGGAAGACGGCGCUAUGCGUUGUAAACUGCUUUGCCAGGGGAAGAAAACUUCCGUCGUAACGGGACUUGCCGGUACCCUGGGAAUAAGCAUCGGCUAACUCCGUGCCAGCAUCCGCCGUAAAAC